GAUGAACGCUGGCGGCGUGCUUAACACAUGCAAGUCGAACGAUGAAGCACAGCUUGCUGGGUGGAUUGGUAGCCAACGGGUGAGUAACACGUGAGUAACCUGCCCUUAACUUUGGCAUAAGCCUGAGCAACUGGGACUAAUACCGGAUACGAGCGUCCACCGCAUGGUGGAUGUUGGAGAGAUUUAUCGGUUUUGGCUGGACUGGCGGCCUAUCAGCAUGUUGGGGGGGUAAUGGCUCACCAAGGCGACGACGGGUAGCCGGCCCGAGAGGGUGACCGGCGACCCUGCGACUGAGAGAGGGCGCAGACUCAUACGGUAGGCAGCGGUGGGGAAUAUUGUACAACGGGAGCAAGCCUGAUGAGGAGACGCUGCGUGAGGGAUGACGGCCUUUGGGUUGUGAACCUCAGUCAGUAGGGAAGAAGCGAAAGUGACGGUACCUGCAGAAGAAGCACCGGCUAACUACGUG
rnacentral:rRNA from 1 species